UUAACUAUGCUUUCAAGGGAUCGUUUUAUAGUUCGUUGUUAGAGAAGUAUGUGUGAACGUGUAGAACAGAUUAAACCACGAGAAAGAAUAGUGUUUUUUUCUGAAUGUGAAGCCGGCGUUUGGUGUUGCUUCAGUGCAACCGUCAUCCGCCAUUGAUGGUCGUUUUUCCAUUUUGGAGACUGGGCGGAAAGAACACGGUCUGAGUGGU